rnacentral:rRNA from 1 species
CUGAAGCCUGGUGCUUGCACCGGGUGGAUGAGUGGCGAACGGGUGAGUAACACGUGAGUAACCUGCCCCUGACUUCGGGAUAAGCCCGGGAAACUGGGUCUAAUACCGGAUACGACCGUCGGACGCAUGUCUGGUGGUGGAAAGUUUUUUCGGUUGGGGAUGGGCUCGCGGCCUAUCAGUUUGUUGGUGAGGUAAUGGCUCACCAAGACGACGACGGGUAGCCGGCCUGAGAGGGCGACCGGCCACACUGGGACUGAGACACGGCCCACACUCCUACGGGAGGCAGCAGUGGGGAAUAUUGCACAAUGGGGGAAACCCUGAUGCAGCGACGCAGCGUGCGGGAUGACGGCCUUCGGGUUGUAAACCGCUUUCAGCAGGGAAGAAGCGCAAGUGACGGUACCUGCACAAGAAGUACCGGCUAACUACGUGCCAGCAGCCGCGGUAAUACGUAGGGUACGAGCGUUGUCCGGAAUUAUUGGGCGUAAAGAGCUCGUAGGUGGUUGGUCACGUCUGCUGUGGAAACGCAACGCUUAACGUUGCGCGUGCAGUGGGUACGGGCUGACUAGAGUGCAGUAGGGGAGUCUGGAAUUCCUGGUGUAGCGGUGAAAUGCGCAGAUAUCACGAGGAACACCGGUGGCGAAGGCGGGACUCUGGGCUGUAACUGACACUGAGGAGCGAAAGCAUGGGGAGCGAACAGGAUUAGAUACCCUGGUAGUCCAUGCCGUAGACGUUGGGCACUAGGUGUGGGGGGCAUUCCACGUUCUCCGCGCCGUAGCUAACGCAUUAAGUGCCCCGCCUGGGGAGUACGGUCGCAAGGCUAAAACUC